rnacentral:snRNA from 1 species
AGAUGUGAGGGCGAUCUGGCUGCGACAUCAGUCACCCCAUUGAUCGCCAGGGUUGAUUUGGCUGAUCUGGCUGGCUAGGCGGGUGUCCACUUCCUCCCUCACCGCUCCAUGUGCGUCCCUCCCGAAGCUGCACGCUCAGUGGAGGAGGAAGACCAUCCCAGAUAGAAGGAGUGUACCGUUCUUCGGUCAAGGGUAUACGAUAGCUGCGCUCCCCACUCAGAUGUCAAGUUUUCCCAUCUUUUGAGGCCCAUUCCUAAAGCAUUCAGAUCCCGCUUGCAGAUGUCCUUG